GCCUUCGUGGUGUAAUGGUCAGCACACUGAGCCGGUAUUUCAGAGGUCCGUGGUUCGAUUCAUCGGCGAAGGCG
rfam:Stegodyphus mimosarum contig39594, whole genome shotgun sequence.